AAAGGAAUAGACGGGGGCCCGCACAAGCAGCGGAGCGUGUGGUUUAAUUCGAAGCUACGCGAAGAACCUUACCAAGGCUUGACAUCCCUCGCUAUUUGUAGAGAUACAAAGUUCCCUUCGGGGACGAGGAGACAGGUGGUGCAUGGUUGUCGUCAGCUCGUGUCGUGAGAUGUUGGGUUAAGUCCCGCAACGAGCGCAACCCUUGUUCUUAGUUGCCAUCAUUAAGUUGGGCACUCUAAGGAGACUGCCGGUGACAAACCGGAGGAAGGUGGGGAUGACGUCAAAUCAUCAUGCCCCUUAUGUCUUGGGCUACACACGCGCUACAAUGGUCUGUACAAAGGGCAGCGAAGCCGCGAGGCCCAGCGAAUCCCAUAAAACAGAUCUCAGUUCGGAUUGCAGGCUGCAAUUCGCCUGCAUGAAGUCGGAGUUGCUAGUAAUCGCGGAUCAGAACGCCGCGGUGAAUGCGUUCCCGGGCCUUGUACACACCGCCCGU
rnacentral:rRNA from 1 species